rnacentral:tRNA from 1 species
ACAAGGGCUAUAGCUCAGUUAGGUAGAGCACCUCGUUUACACGUGCGUCAAUG